UUUUCUGGAGUUGUCCUUGCUAUUAAAGGAAGUAAAAAUUACUUAAGAGUGAAAAAAGAAAAUCUAUUUAAUCUCUCAUCCACCAUGGAGGAGCUCUCUAGCAGGAGUCCUUCCUACUUUUGGAUGCGCAGUCAACGACGGCCUUGUCAGUGCCGCCGAAGAUGAUUAUGGUGGAGGAGGAGCAGGGACAUGCAGCGAUGGAAUGGUAGAGUUGUCAGCGAGAUGUCCUCCGGGGUUGCAAGACGGCCGGUCGCCGGCGGCAACGAUGUUGGAGUUGGAGAAGAUGUAAGUCAAGGUGUUGGAGUGAGGUGGAGAAAGGGGAGCAGCGGAGCGGCGGAGAGUUAGGAGAGAAGGAAGCGGAGGGAGGGGAUGCAGUCGGCUACCGGCGACGGGCCGGGAGGAGUACCGGCGAGGACGUGAAGAGAUGCCGGCAAGGAGGGAGGGAAUGACGGGCAAAGGGGGAAGAGAGGAUGAGAAAAAGGAGGAGGUUGGCGAGGGCGAACGUGGCAGCCGACGGCGGAUCACGAAACUUGCAUGCACUCAUUUGCUAUGUUGGCUGAUCUCUUCGAGUUACAACGAGUCAGCAUUCCAACCUUAGUUUGGAGUCCCAACUCAAACACGUGUUCACAUUUCAAAUAUGCAAGAGUUCCGACUUGGGUAAGGGGGAAGAUGUCAAGACGUAUCCGAGCAAGAAUAUAUGGAAAUGUUCCACUGGGCGAGAAGCAAAUCAUCAUUACCAUCAUUAUAUUUGAUAAGCAACUCGGGUUUGGGUCUCAAAAUGAGCUUGUUUAGCUAUAACUAGCUCAAGCUUUGUACAUGAACUUGGCAUGAAAAAUUGCCAGCUCAGAGAAAAAUAGUAAAUCGACUAGCUCACA